rnacentral:rRNA from 1 species
AUCCAGACUCCUACGGGAGGCAGCAGUGGGGAAUAUUGCACAAUGGGGGAAACCCUGAUGCAGCGACGCCGCGUGAGUGAAGAAGUAUUUCGGUAUGUAAAGCUCUAUCAGCAGGGAAGAUAAUGACGGUACCUGAGUAAGAAGCCCCGGCUAACUACGUGCCAGCAGCCGCGGUAAUACGUAGGGGGCAAGCGUUAUCCGGAUUUACUGGGUGUAAAGGGAGCGUAGACGGCAUGGCAAGUCUGAAGUGAAAGCCCGGGGCUCAACCGCGGGACUGCUUUGGAAACUGUUAAGCUGGAGUGCAGGAGGGGUAAGUGGAAUUCCUAGUGUAGCGGUGAAAUGCGUAGAUAUUAGGAGGAACACCAGUGGGGAAGGCGGCUUACUGGACGGCAACUGACGUUGAGGCCCGAAAGCGUGGGGAGCGAACAGGAUUAGAUACCCCAGUAA